rnacentral:rRNA from 1 species
AAGUCGAGCGGCAAGGUGGAGCAAUCCAUCCUAGAGCGGCGGACUGGUGAGUAACGCGUGGGUGACCUGCCCUAAGGCCGGGGAUAGCCGUUAGAAAUAGCGGGUAAUACCGGAUACGGUCUGUUUGCCAUGGCGGACAGAAGAAAGGAGCAUUUGCUCCGCCUUGGGAUGGGCCCGCGUUCCAUUAGCUGGUUGGUGAGGUAAAGGCCCACCAAGGCGAUGAUGGGUAGCCGGCCUGAGAGGGUGAACGGCCACAUUGGGACUGAGAUACGGCCCAAACUCCUACGGGAGGCAGCAGCUAAGAAUAUUCCGCAAUGGGCGAAAGCCUGACGGAGCGACGCCGCGUGGACGAGGAAGGCCGAAAGGUUGUAAAGUUCUUUUGCUGCUGAAGAAUAAGGCGGGGAGGGAAUGCCCUGCUGAUGACUUUAGGCAGCGAAUAAGCCCCGGCUAAUUACGUGCCAGCAGCCGCGGUAACACGUAAGGGGCGAGCGUUGUUCGGAAUUAUUGGGCGUAAAGGGCGCGUAGGCGGUCAGGCAAGUCUGGUGUGAAAUGGCGGAGCUCAACUCCGUCACUGCAUUGGAAACUGCGUGACUUGAGUCAUGGAGGGGGAGUUGGAAUUCCUGGUGUAGGGGUGAAAUCUGUAGAUAUCAGGAAGAACACCGGUGGCGAAGGCGAAC